CCUACGGGAGGCUGCAGUAGGGAAUCUUCCACAAUGGGCGAAAGACUGAUGGAGCAACGCCGCGUGGGUGAAGAAGGUCUUCGGAUCGUAAAACCCUGUUGUUAGAGAAGAAAGUGCGUGAGAGUAACUGUUCACGUUUAGACGGUAUCUAACCAGAAAGCCACGGCUAACUACGUGCCAGGAGCCGCGGUAAUACGUAGGGGGCAAGCGUUAUCCGGAUUUAUGGGGCGUAAAGGGAACGCAGGCGGUCUUUUAAGUCUCAUGUGAAAGCCUACGGCUUAACCGGAGUAGUGCAUUGGAAACUGGGAGACUUGAGUGCAGAAGAGGAGAGUGGAACUCCAUGUGUAGCGGUGAAAUGCGUAGAUAUAUGGAAGAACACCAGUGGCGAACGCGGCUCUCUGGUCUGUAACUGACGCUGAGGUUCGAAAGCGUGGGUAGCAAACAGGAUUAGAUACCCGGGUAGUC
rnacentral:rRNA from 1 species